rnacentral:lncRNA from 1 species
AGAAACUGGCAGAGGCAAAUAGUUUUUAAACUCCCCAGUGACUCUAGUGUGCAGCCAAGGUCUGAAAAUGGACUGCCUGAGGGUCUAUCUCACUGUGAUCUCUGCUCAAAAGCUAAAGCCUAGUUCUAGAGUGCAGCAGGGAGCCUCAGAGGCUGCAGGGGUCAGAGGUAGACUGCAGAGCAGAGGAGUGUGCAGUGUCUUGGAAAUUCUUAAUUAUGUACUGGGCGUGGCAGAACCCCACAAUAGUAAUGUUGUGAAGGGUUCUUUCUCUAAAAGGAAUCUUUUCCAUACAUCAACAGUAAGGCAGGGCAUCCCCAACCUUUUAUAUAUAGCUGCCUAAUAAUACAUAAGGAAUCUGCACCUAUAUCCUUCACAAUCACCCUGUUGGGAAUGGACUGUCAUGUGGCCUGCUUAGAUAUCAGUGACAGGUAGCUGCAGUCAUUUGAACAUCUUUAGGUGUAUGUGUGCAGAUGGUGAGCAUUGGUCAGCAAGUAUGAGACGGUGUAAGGGAGAUGAACAGAAAACUCAGAAGUCGUUUAAGAGACAAUUCAGAACUAACAAAACCAAAAACCCAUCCACACUUCUGAAAAUGGGGAGGAUAAGGAAGUCUGGAAAUUGAUGUUCAGUAACAUUGACCUCCAGAGUUAGAGGAGAGGCGUGCGCGGGCAGGUCCUCUAGUCCAGACUGGUGAUCUGAGCAGUGGGCAAGGGAGCAAGGCAAGAAGUGGGGGUGGGGAAGAGUAAGGAAGGAGGAAAAUAAGGGUUCAUCUCAUCAGUCACAGACAGAAAGUGUGUUAAGACUUAGAAAGGGCAGGUGACAGUGACAAGCAGGAAGAAGUAGCUUUUCAUUCAGUUAUACUCUUGAUGAAAUUGCUAAAUUCUUACAAGAUAUAGUAGAAUUUGCUAGAAAAAUAUCCGGGCCAGCAAAAGAACACUUGAGGGCUGGAGCCCAAUGCCUGACACCAUGUUGGGUGACACACAAUACAACUCCAGUUGCAGGACAUCUGAUGCCCUCUUAGGCCCCUAAGGCAUCUGUACAUGUGUGCAUAUACACAUACACUGACUGCACACACCAUCUUUGUUUAAAGCUGACUUAGGGUGGUGUGGUAGAACAGGGGAGAGAGGCCCUUAGAGUUCAUUGGCCAUCCAGUCUAGUCAAAUCAAUAAAUUUUAGGUCCUGUGACAGACCCUGUUUUUAAAAUACUAAGGUAGAGCCUAGCAUAGUGGCAUCCGUCUUUAAUGCCAGCACUUGGGAGGCAGAGGCAGGUGGAGCUCUGUGAGUUUGAGGCCAGCCUGAGCUACACAGAGAAACCCUGUCUCAAACAAAAGGUGGAGAACCACUGAGGAAAAUACCCAGCAUCAACCACUGGCCUUCACAUGACAUGCAUGCAUGGAUGAAUGACAGCUGCCAAAGGCACCAGGACUCAGAAUGUCGACAUGGUCAGGCUAUUUAUUCCUUGUACUUGAAGUAAGAAAAACAUAUCUAAAAUUAAAAGUAGAGUAGAGGCUUCAUGUAUGUUCAUGCUAAUGUCUGAGUGAGCUGUGUGUUGUUCACAUGCCUUUCAAACAUUGAGUGAUGGCUAGCAAAUGACCACAGGAAGAAAGCACAGGGUUUUCUUUGCUUUUUAUCUUAGGUUUUGUUUUGUUUUAAGACAAGGUUCCUCUGUAUAGCCCUGGCCAUCCUGGAACUCACUCUGUAAACCAGCUGUCCUCAAACUCACAGAGAUGCCUCCGCCUCUGCCUCCACCUCCACCUCCUGAACACUGGGAUUAAAGGUGUGUGACACCACUGCCCAGCAAAAUCACAGGUUUUUAAAACUAUUUCAUUGUGUCUCAGAAAAUAGCAGUAUAUUCUUUUCAGGUGUUUUAGAGGUAGAUAGCUCCUUUUUCUAGAAAGUAUCUCCAGGUCUUCAAGUGGAGUGAAUCAUAAUAG